GGAGGGUGCUAGCGUUGUUCGGAAUCACUGGGCGUAAAGCGCGUGUAGGCGGUUCGCUAAGUCUGGUGUGAAAGCCCGGGGCUCACCCCCGGAAGGGCACUGGAAACUGGCGGACUCGAGUCCCGGAGAGGAGGGUGGAAUUCCUGGUGUAGCGGUGAAAUGCGUAGAUAUCAGGAGGAACACCGGUGGCGAAGGCGGCCCUCUGGACGGUGACUGACGCUGAGACGCGAAAGCGUGGGGAGCAAACAGGAUUAGAUACCCUGGUAGUCCACGCCGUAAACGAUGAGCACUAGGUGUCGCGGGUAUUGACCCCUGCGGUGCCGACGCUAACGCAUUAAGUGCUCCGCCUGGGGACUACGGCCGCAAGGUUA
rnacentral:rRNA from 1 species